rnacentral:rRNA from 1 species
CUACGGGCGGCUGCAGUGGGGAAUAUUGGACAAUGGGGGAAACCCUGAUCCAGCAAUGCCGCGUGUGUGAAGAAGGCCUGCGGGUUGUAAAGCACUUUCGGUUGGGAGGACUGCUUCUAGCACUAAUAUUGUUGGAAGUUGACGUUACCUUCAGAAGAAGCACCGGCUAACUCCGUGCCAGCAGCCGCGGUAAUACGGAGGGUGCAAGCGUUAAUCGGAAUUACUGGGCGUAAAGCGCGCGUAGGCGGCUAGAUCAGUCGGGUGUGAAAGCCCCGGGCUGAACCUGGGAACUGCAUCCGAUACUGGCUAGCUUGAGUACAGGAGAGGAGAGUGGAAUUCCACAUGUAGCGGUGAAAUGCGUAGAUAUGUGGAGGAACACCAAUGGCGAAGGCAGCUCUCUGGCCUGAUACUGACGCUGAGGUGCGAAAGCGUGGGGAGCAAACGGGAUUAGAUACCCCUGUAGUC